rnacentral:rRNA from 1 species
CACUAUCGUUAACUGAAUACAUAGGUUAACGAGGCGAACCGGGGGAACUGAAACAUCUAAGUACCCCGAGGAAAAGAAAUCAACCGAGAUUCCCCCAGUAGCGGCGAGCGAACGGGGAGCAGCCCAGAGUCUGAAUCAGCUUGUGUGUUAGUGGAACGGUCUGGAAAGUCCGACGGUACAGGGUGAUAGUCCCGUACACCAAAAUGCACAGGUUGUGAACUCGAAGAGUAGGGCGGGACACGUGGUAUCCUGUCUGAAUAUGGGGGGACCAUCCUCCAAGGCUAAAUACUCCUGACUGACCGAUAGUGAACCAGUACCGUGAGGGAAAGGCGAAAAGAACCCCGGCGAGGGGAGUGAAAAAGAACCUGAAACCGUGUACGUACAAGCAGUGGGAGCACCUUCGGGUGUGACUGCGUACCUUUUGUAUAAUGGGUCAGCGACUUAUAUUCUGUAGCAAGGUUAACCGUAUAGGGGAGCCGCAGGGAAACCGAGUCUUAACUGGGCGUUAAGUUGCAGGGUAUAGACCCGAAACCCGGUGAUCUAGCCAUGGGCAGGUUGAAGGUUGGGUAACACUAACUGGAGGACCGAACCGACUAAUGUUGAAAAAUUAGCGGAUGACUUGUGGCUGGGGGUGAAAGGCCAAUCAAACCGGGAGAUAGCUGGUUCUCCCCGAAAGCUAUUUAGGUAGCGCCUCGUGAACUCAUCUUCGGGGGUAGAGCACUGUUUCGGCUAGGGGGUCAUCCCGACUUACCAACCCGAUGCAAACUACGAAUACCGAAGAAUGUUAUCACGGGAGACACACGGCGGGUGCUAACGUCCGUCGUGAAGAGGGAAACAACCCAGACCGCCAGCUAAGGUCCCAAAGUCAUGGUUAAGUGGGAAACGAUGUGGGAAGGCACAGACAGCCAGGAUGUUGGCUUAGAAGCAGCCAUCAUUUAAAGAAAGCGUAAUAGCUCACUGGUCGAGUCGGCCUGCGCGGAAGAUGUAACGGGGCUAAACCAUGCACCGAAGCUGCGGCAGCGACACUAUGUGUUGUUGGGUAGGGGAGCGUUCUGUAAGCCUGCGAAGGUGACCUGUGAGGGUUGCUGGAGGUAUCAGAAGUGCGAAUGCUGACAUAAGUAACGAUAAAGCGGGUGAAAAGCCCGCUCGCCGGAAGACCAAGGGUUCCUGUCCAACGUUAAUCGGGGCAGGGUGAGUCGACCCCUAAGGCGAGGCCGAAAGGCGUAGUCGAUGGGAAACAGGUUAAUAUUCCUGUACUUGGUGUUACUGCGAAGGGGGGACGGAGAAGGCUAUGUUAGCCGGGCGACGGUUGUCCCGGUUUAAGCAUGUAGGCUGGUUGUCCAGGCAAAUCCGGAUAAUCAAGGCUGAGGUGUGAUGACGAGGCACUACGGUGCUGAAGUAACAAAUGCCCUGCUUCCAGGAAAAGCCUCUAAGCAUCAGGUAACAUUAAAUCGUACCCCAAACCGACACAGGUGGUCAGGUAGAGAAUACCAAGGCGCUUGAGAGAACUCGGGUGAAGGAACUAGGCAAAAUGGUGCCGUAACUUCGGGAGAAGGCACGCUGGUGUGUAGGUGAAGUCCCUGCGGAUGGAGCUGAGACCAGUCGAAGAUACCAGCUGGCUGCAACUGUUUAUUAAAAACACAGCACUGUGCAAACACGAAAGUGGACGUAUACGGUGUGACGCCUGCCCGGUGCCGGAAGGUUAAUUGAUGGGGUUAUCCGUAAGGAGAAGCUCUUGAUCGAAGCCCCGGUAAACGGCGGCCGUAACUAUAACGGUCCUAAGGUAGCGAAAUUCCUUGUCGGGUAAGUUCCGACCUGCACGAAUGGCGUAAUGAUGGCCAGGCUGUCUCCACCCGAGACUCAGUGAAAUUGAACUCGCUGUGAAGAUGCAGUGUACCCGCGGCAAGACGGAAAGACCCCGUGAACCUUUACUAUAGCUUGACACUGAACAUUGAGCCUUGAUGUGUAGGAUAGGUGGGAGGCUUUGAAGCGUGGACGCCAGUCUGCGUGGAGCCAACCUUGAAAUACCACCCUUUAAUGUUUGAUGUUCUAACGUUGGCCCCUUAUCGGGGUUGCGGACAGUGUCUGGUGGGUAGUUUGACUGGGGCGGUCUCCUCCCAAAGCGUAACGGAGGAGCACGAAGGUUAGCUAAUCCUGGUCGGACAUCAGGAGGUUAGUGCAAUGGCAUAAGCUAGCUUGACUGCGAGCGUGACGGCGCGAGCAGGUGCGAAAGCAGGUCAUAGUGAUCCGGUGGUUCUGAAUGGAAGGGCCAUCGCUCAACGGAUAAAAGGUACUCCGGGGAUAACAGGCUGAUACCGCCCAAGAGUUCAUAUCGACGGCGGUGUUUGGCACCUCGAUGUCGGCUCAUCACAUCCUGGGGCUGAAGUAGGUCCCAAGGGUAUGGCUGUUCGCCAUUUAAAGUGGUACGCGAGCUGGGUUUAGAACGUCGUGAGACAGUUCGGUCCCUAUCUGCCGUGGGCGCUGGAGAAUUGAGGGGGGCUGCUCCUAGUACGAGAGGACCGGAGUGGACGCAUCACUGGUGUUCGGGUUGUCAUGCCAAUGGCACUGCCCGGUAGCUAAAUGCGGAAGAGAUAAGUGCUGAAAGCAUCUAAGCACGAAACUUGCCCCGAGAUGAGUUCUCCCUGAGACUUUAAGUCUCCUGAAGGAACGUUAAAGACGAUGACGUUGAUAGGCCGGGUGUGUAAGCGCAGCGAUGCGUUGAGCUAACCGGUACUAAUGAACCGUGAGGCUUAACCUU